AGUAUGAAAAUGUGAUGCAAGGGCAACAGAAAUAAGAAAUUUACAUCUGUUACACUGGUGCCGUGACCCGGAUCACUGGUUGCUGCGGAAAAAGGAGGAGGUCAAAAGGGGAUGUUACAGAUGAAUGGGCCCGGCGUGUGACCAGACGACAGCUGGGCCACUGUUCUGCUGAGUCAGCCUCUGCUUCAGACAUACGCGCGAGCACACAGAUGGAACGGGGCCCAUUUACUAAGACACGUGUCCCCUUUAAGGCCUUAUAUUAUCAUCAUAUUAAAUGACAUGGAUGGCCUUGUCUUUAUGACUUGCUCACUCCUGGUUGAAAUGAAAAUGUAUACACCAGCUGUGUUUGUAUAGUAUACAUGUCUCCUUAUGUGACCAAUGACAGCUGCUCAGAAUAAGGCUGAGUGUUUAUUGGGAAAACAUUUGAUAGAAGCAGAAAAAAAUAUAUUACAAAACCAAGACCAGAUAAUUUUACUAGUAGGUUCAUCCACCCUCUCUUUCAGACCUUGACAUCUCCUCUCCGUGAGCCUGGUUUUCCUCUGCUGUCCCCAGCCAGUCAGACACAGCUGGAAGCCACGAGAAGACUCAUUAGUACUAAGGUUGGAUGGAUACCUACUAAACAAACAGAGGAUGAGACACUAGACCUGUUAGUUCGUUUCUGGGUGUACAGUAGGUCUGGCAACAUGUAUACAGACAACCAGGCUUGGUUUUAUUUCAUAGUUCAAAGCGGAAAUGUUCAUGUGCAGUUUUCAUUAGAAAUGUUUCAAUGAAAUUGAGAAGAUUUAC